CCGAGCGCUGCGCGGACAGACCUGCCGGCGCCGCUGCCGGGAAUCGGCGAUCCGCGGCCAGUGGAGGACUGUCCGGCUGGGGGCGUGGGGUUCUGGGGGGGUCUCGCGGUCUGAGGCCACCUCGGUUUGGAAAAUGUUGGCCUGAGCCUGGGGUCCAGGCAUGGAAUUCCUGACAACUUCCCAAUCUCCCUCAGGCCCUCCAGCAAUGGACUUGGAGGAGCCCAGGGACACAGUUUCACCCUGCCAGGACCUCACCCCCAACUGCCAGUGGGACCGGGUGCCGGGACGCUCCGGCAGCCUGAGUCAGAUGGAACUCGAUGGGCCAAGUAUUGAGGACCUGGUGCAACAGUUUGAGGCUCUGCCUGGUGAUCUGGUGGGCUUGUCCCCAGAUGGACCUCCCUGCCCCUUGCACGUGGCCACGGGCCACGGCCUGGCCUCCCAGGACGUUGCUGAUGCCCAUGGGCUCUUGUCUGCCGAGGCCGGCCCAGACGACCUGCUGAGCCUUUUGCACUGCCAGGAAUGCCCUCCUUCCCAGUCUUGUCCCAAGGAGCCUCCGGACCCUGCCCCUCGCCCGCUGCAGCCCCCUGAGGACCCAGACGGAGAUACCAGUGCCCCGGAAUGGGUGGAGGGAGCUUCUGCCGAGCAUGGCGGCAGCAGGAGCUCAAGCAGCUCCCCGGAACCGUGGCUGGAGACGGCACCUCUGGUUGCUCCUGAAGAACCGCCUGCCGAUACCCAGAACCCCAAGACCCUGGUGACAUACCCUGCCCUCCAGGAGGUACCUGGUCCCUGUGACCAUGAAGACCUCCUAGACGGUGUCAUAUUUGGGGCCAAAUACUUGGGCUCCACCCAGCUGGUGUCCGAGCGGAACCCACCUCCCAGCACACGCAUGGCCCAGGCCCGGGAGGCGAUGGACCGUGUCAAGGCCCCUGACGGGGAGACCCAGCCCAUGACGGAAGUGGACCUCUUUGUGUCCACCAAGAGGGUCAAGGUUCUGACGGCCGACUCCCAGGAGGCCAUGAUGGACCACGCCCUGCAGACCAUCUCCUACAUUGCUGACAUCGGCAGUGUGCUGGUGCUCAUGGCCCGGCGGCGGCUGGCCCGGCGGCCGGCAUCCCAGGCCCACAGCCAUAGGCUCUACAAGAUACUGUGCCACGUCUUCCACUCCGAGGACGCCCAGCUCAUCGCUCAGGCCAUCGGCCAGGCCUUCACCGUGGCCUACAGCCAGUUCCUUCGGGAAAGUGGCAUCGACCCCAACCAGGUGGGUGCCCAGCAGAGCCAGGGCGCCGCGGGCCCCGGCCACCUCCACAACGGGGACCUCGACCAUUUCUCCAACAGCGAGAACUGCAGGGAGGUGUGCAUCGAGAAGCGCCGGGGCGAGGGCCUGGGCGUGGCCCUGGUGGAGUCGGGCUGGGGCUCCCUGCUGCCCACGGCUGUCAUCGCCAACCUGCUGCAUGGGGGUCCCGCCGAGCGCUCGGGGGCCCUCAGCAUCGGGGACCGCCUCACUGCCAUCAAUGGGACCAGCCUGGUGGGGCUGCCCCUGGCCGCCUGCCAGGCUGCCGUCCGCGUGAGUCCCCCGCAGGGUGGCCGGGUGCCCUUCCCUGGCGCGGUCCAGAAGGGGCAAGGUAGAGCAUGAAGUCCUACCCGCCCCGGUGUGCUCAAGGAGACAGAGCCUUGGAGAGGGGACGCUGCUGGUCCGGGGGGGCCUUGAUGGGGUGAAGGCAAGAUUCGCACCCAGGCGGUCUAGCUGCAGGGUCAGGAGCCUUCCUCUCUGCCCCGAGGCAGCCAGUGUGUUCUUGAGUCUUGACCCUUGUUGCCGGCUGGGGAAACUGAGGCUCAGAGCGGGGAAGGACCUGGCCAGGUCAGAAGGGCAAGCCCGACACGGUCCACGCAGCAUGUUAUGUUUGAGCGUGGCAGACGCUGCUAGAAAUGUGCUCUCGACAGGGAAACUGAGGCCACAGAUAGGGAGGGGAGAGGUCACCGCUCCGACCUGAGGCCGCCCAGCUUGAGUCUGUGUUCUUAACUGCUUCUCAAGGGGUCUUCUAGAAUCAAGAGCCUUGACUCUGAAGCUCCAUUUCACGAGAGGUGAAGUCACAGACCUUGGUGACCCUCAGCAUCAUCCACUGCCCGCCGGUCACCACAGCCAUCAUCCGCCGGCCCCACACCCGUG